GAUGAACGCUAGCGGCAGGCCUAACACAUGCAAGUCGAACGGUAACAUAGAUUGCUUGCAAUCUGAUGACGAGUGGCGCACGGGUGCGUAACGCGUAUGCAACCUACCUUUAACUGGAGGAUAGCCCGAAGAAAUUCGGAUUAAUACCCCAUAAUAUAUGUCUUUCGCAUGUUAGACAUAUUAAAGCUUUGGCGGUUAAAGAUGGGCAUGCGUGACAUUAGUUAGUUGGUGAGGUAACGGCUCACCAAGACGGCGAUGUCUAGGGGGUCUGAGAGGAUUAUCCCCCACACUGGUACUGAGACACGGACCAGACUCCUACGGGAGGCAGCAGUGAGGAAUAUUGGUCAAUGGACGAAAGUCUGAACCAGCCAUGCCGCGUGCAGGAAGAAUGCCCUACGGGUUGUAAACUGCUUUUAUAUAGGAAUAAACCCCCCUACGUGUAGGGGGCUGAAGGUACUAUAUGAAUAAGGACCGGCUAACUCCGUGCCGGCG
rnacentral:rRNA from 1 species